UCCGUGCGGCAUGCCUUUAACAUGCAGUCGAACGGUAGAGUAGCAAUACUUGAGAGUGGCGAACGGGUGAGUAAUAUAUCGGAACGUGCCCAAUCGUGGGGGAUAACGUAGAGAAAUUUACGCUAAUACCGCAUACGAUCUAAGGAUGAAAGCGGGGGACUCGGCAACGAGCCUCGCGCGAUUGGAGCGGCUGAUAUCAGAUUAGCUUGUUGGCGAGGUAAAAGCUCACCAAGGCGACGAUCUGUAGCUGGUUUGAGAGAACGACCAGCCACACUGGACUGAGACACGGCCCAGACUCCUACGGGAGGCAGCAGUGGGGAAUUUUGGACAAUGGGCGAAAGCCUGAUCCAGCAAUGCCGCGUGUGGGAAGAAGGCCUUCGGGUUGUAAACCACUUUUGUACGGAACGAAACGGUCUGCCCUAAUACGGUGGGCUAAUGACGGUACCGUAAGAAUAAGCACCGGCUAACUACGUGCCAGCAGCCGCGGUAAUACGUAGGGUGCGAGCGUUAAUCGGAAUUACUGGGCGUAAAGCGUGCGCAGGCGGUUAUAUAAGACAGUUGUGAAAUCCCCGGGCUCAACCUGGGAAUUGCAUCUGUGACUGUAUAGCUAGAGUACGGUAGAGGGGGAUGGAAUUCCGCGUGUAGCAGUGAAAUGCGUAGAUAUGCGGAGGAACACCGAUGGCGAAGGCAAUCCCCUGGACCUGUACUGACGCUCAUGCACGAAAGCGUGGGGAGCAAACAGGAUUAGAUACCCUGGUAGUCCACGCCCUAAACGAUGUCAACUGGUUGUUGGGUGCAUUAGUACUCAGUAACGAAGCUAACGCGUGAAGUUGACCGCCUGGGGAGUACGGCCGCAAGGUUAAAACUCAAAGGAAUUGACGGGGACCCGCACAAGCGGUGGAUGAUGUGGUUUAAUUCGAUGCAACGCGAAAAACCUUACCUACCUUUGACAUGUACGGAACUCGCCAGAGAUGGCUUGGUGCUC
rnacentral:rRNA from 1 species